rnacentral:rRNA from 1 species
AUCGCAGGCUGCAACCCGCCUGCGUGAAGUCGGAAUCGCUAGUAAUCGCGGAUCAGCAUGCCGCGGUGAAUACGUUCCCGGGCCUUGUACACACCGCCCGUCACACCAUGAGAGUCGGGAACACCCGAAGUCCGUAGCCUAACCGCAAGGGGGCGCGGCCGAAGGUGGGUUCGAUAAUUGGGGUGAAGUCGUAACAAGGUAUC